rnacentral:rRNA from 1 species
UACAGAGGUCUCAAGCGUUGUUCGGAUUCAUUGGGCGUAAAGGGUGCGUAGGCGGCGCGGUAAGUCGGGUGUGAAAUUUCGAGGCUUAACUUCGAAACUGCAUUCGAUACUGCCGUGCUUGAGGACUGGAGAGGAGACUGGAAUUUACGGUGUAGCGGUGAAAUGCGUAGAUAUCGUAAGGAACACCAGCGGCGAAGGCGGCACUCUGGGCUGGAACUGACGCUGAGGAGCGAAAGCCAGGGGAGCAAACGGG